rnacentral:rRNA from 1 species
ACUCCUACGGGAGGCAGCAGUGGGGAAUUUUGGACAAUGGGGGCAACCCUGAUCCAGCAAUGCCGCGUGAGUGAAGAAGGCCUUCGGGUUGUAAAGCUCUUUUGUCAGGGAAGAAACGGUAGUAGCGAAUAACUAUUACUAAUGACGGUACCUGAAGAAUAAGCACCGGCUAACUACGUGCCAGCAGCCGCGGUAAUACGUAGGGUGCAAGCGUUAAUCGGAAUUACUGGGCGUAAAGCGUGCGCAGGCGGUUGUGUAAGUCAGAUGUGAAAUCCCCGGGCUCAACCUGGGAAUUGCAUUUGAGACUGCACGGCUAGAGUGUGUCAGAGGGGGGUAGAAUUCCACGUGUAGCAGUGAAAUGCGUAGAUAUGUGGAGGAAUACCGAUGGCGAAGGCAGCCCCCUGGGAUAACACUGACGCUCAUGCACGAAAGCGUGGGGAGCAAACAGGAUUAGAAACCCUUGUAGUCCCAUG